UACGUAGGGUGCGAGCGUUGUCCGGAAUUAUUGGGCGUAAAGAGCUUGUAGGCGGUUUGUCGCGUCUGCUGUGAAAUCUCAAGGCUCAACCUUGAGCUUGCAGUGGGUACGGGCAGACUAGAGUGUGGUAGGGGAGACUGGAAUUCCUGGUGUAGCGGUGAAAUGCGCAGAUAUCAGGAGGAACACCGGUGGCGAAGGCGGUUCUCUGGGCAUUACCUGACACUGAGACACGAAAGCCAGGGGAGCAAACGGG
rnacentral:rRNA from 1 species